rnacentral:rRNA from 1 species
GGAGGCAGCAGUGAGGAAUAUUGGUCAAUGGACGAGAGUCUGAACCAGCCAAGUCGCGUGAGGGAAGACUGCCCUAUGGGUUGUAAACCUCUUUUAUAAGGGAAGAAUAAGUUCUACGUGUAGAAUGAUGCCUGUACCUUAUGAAUAAGCAUCGGCUAACUCCGUGCCAGCAGCCGCGGUAAUACGGAGGAUGCGAGCGUUAUCCGGAUUUAUUGGGUUUAAAGGGUGCGUAGGCGGUUUAUUAAGUUAGUGGUUAAAUAUUUGAGCUAAACUCAAUUGUGCCAUUAAUACUGGUAAACUGGAGUACAGACGAGGUAGGCGGAAUAAGUUAAGUAGCGGUGAAAUGCAUAGAUAUAACUUAGAACUCCGAUAGCGAAGGCAGCUUACCAGACUGUAACUGACGCUGAUGCACGAGAGCGUGGGUAGCGAACAGGAUUAGAUACCCUGGUAGUCCACGCCGUAAACGAUGCUCACUGGAUCUUGGCGAUACACUGCCAGGGUUCAAGCGAAAGUAUUAAGUGAGCCACCUGGGGAGUACGUCGGCAACGAUGAAACUCAAAGGAAUUGACGGGGGCCCGCACAAGCGGAGGAACAUGUGGUUUAAUUCGAUGAUACGCGAGGAACCUUACCCGGGCUUGAAAGUUAGCGACGAUUCUUGAAAGAGGAUUUCCCUUCGGGGCGCGAAACUAGGUGCUGCAUGGUUGUCGUCAGCUCGUGCCGUGAGGUGUCGGGUUAAGUCCCAUAACGAGCGCAACCCUUACCGUUAGUUGCUAGCAUGUAAUGAUGAGCACUCUAACGGGACUGCCACCGUAAGGUGAGAGGAAGGCGGGGAUGACGUCAAAUCAGCACGGCCCUUACACCCAGGGCUACACACGUGUUACAAUGGCCGGUACAGAGGGCCGCUACCAGGUGACUGGAUGCCAAUCUCAAAAGCCGGUCGUAGUUCGGAUUGGAGUCUGUAACCCGACUCCAUGAAGUUGGAUUCGCUAGUAAUCGCGCAUCAGCCAUGGCGCGGUGAAUACGUUCCCGGGCCUUGUACACACCGCCCGUCAAGCCAUGGGAGCCGGGGGUACCUGAAGUGCGUAACCGCAAGGAGCGCCCUAGGGUAAAACUGGUGACUGGGGCUAAGUCGUAACAAGGUAGCCGUACCGGAAGGUGCGGCUG